GGUGAGCUUCAGUGAGGGAUCUUAGUCUAGAGGUUUAACUGCACGUGCUGGGAGGUUUAAAAGCUACCAUACCUCCAUCAAGUGCCUCUGGAGGAAAUGAUAUAAUAGUAGACAGUAUUAGAUGCAAAUUAGAGUGGGGUUAAAAAGGUGAAGAUCAUCUAUGAGCGACCAUAUCACCACCGCCAUUACGGUAACAGCUGCAGCCAUGUGAUAUUGAAGCGCUUCUCAGGAUUUCACAUCUCAGCCUCUCUCAGUCCAUGCCAAUCUGCACGCAGUCUGGUGCUCCACCUGAUGCUGCCUCAGGGUACAGAGACCCAAAUGCUAAUGAUCCAGCAGAGCCCUACAAGACAAAGAAAGAUCACAGGAGCUCAUAUCAGCACAAUCCACAUGAUUGAAGGAUUCAAGCCCUGGAUUUCAUGUUGUCCUUGGCCAUAAAGCAAACCAUGACACAUACGGUGCACUAGAAAUAAUAAAUACUGCCUAUGAACUAGA